GACGAACGCUGGCGGCGUGCUUAACACAUGCAAGUCGAACGGAAAGGCCUCUUUCGGGGGGCUCUCGAGUGGCGAACGGGUGAGUAACACGGAUGUAACCUCCCCUUGACAUUGGGCUAACUUCCGGAAACUGGGGCAAUUACCGGCCAGCAGGUCCUGCGGAAGGGUGGGGGUUGGAUAGUUUCGGCGGUUGGGGAUGGACUCGCGGCUUUUCAGCUUGUUGGUGGGGUAGUGGCUUACCAAGGCUUUGACGGGUAGCCGGCCUGAGAGGGUGACCGGCCACAUUGGGACUGAGAUACGGCCCAGACGCCUACGGGAGGCAGCAGUGGGGAAAAUUGCACAAAGGGUGGAAGCCUGAUGCAGCAACGCCUGGUGCGGGAUGACGGCCUUCGGGUUGUAAACCGCGUUCGCUCAUGACGAAGCUUUGUGUGACGGUAGUGGGUAAAGAAGCACCGGCUAACUACGUG
rnacentral:rRNA from 1 species